rnacentral:sRNA from 1 species
GGCCUGUGCAAGUACUUUUUCUCCAUACCUCCGUACAUCUCGUUUUCAGAACCCUAUGGCGCUUUUUUUUUCUCCCCAGAUGUUAACAGGUUCGUCUCCUGACACCUCUUAACUAAACUUGAGGCAUCCAUAUCAUGCCGGAAGUCUUUUGAUAUUUCCACCAUCUGGAAUAGAAAUAUAUAUAUCUCCUUGUCUGGGAUCCAGGCACCACCUCGCGAUUGGUCAGAUUUGUGACUUGGGCUAGCAGUGGUCAAGCCAAUCAAGGGUGGGGAAAUUGGUGGAGGUCAGGACCGUAUAUGGAACUCCACAGAUAUGAGGAAACUGAGCAUGGACCCCCCAUGAUGUGUCUACGCUGCGUACGAAGUGUAAUAUGGACGUAGCAUUAUGUCGAUCGAGAGCUACACGUAGCCAUAAUUUAUACAACGAGGCAUACACUCUUUCUUUGUAUGUUUUGCUUUUCCUGAUCCCUGAAGCGCAGCAGUCAUAGUAUAAAUAACUAUCAUAAUUUCUUUUGACUCCGGUCACAUCAUGUCCGGGUAUUGCACACGGGCUCCACUUGUACAGCACAUUCAUGUUGGUGGCCAGGGCUAAUUUUGUGCGCCUUGACGACCCCAACCACUAGCUUGGUGAAACCAUGCAACCUACACUGGGUAAUUGUAAUUGAAUAGUCAACGAGGGUCUACAGAGAAGAGUUUUAUAUCACAUGAGUUUUUAGAUAUUAUCUAUAUAUCUUGUAUAUUUUUUAGUCUAUAUACUAUUAUGUUGGUGGU